AUAAACCCCUACUACCCAGCAAUUGAAGUUUUUUUUUUUUUUUUCCCAUAUUCUGAACCCUAAGAUUCUUUACCAAGCACCAAAACAAGGAAAGAUCAAGCUAAAAAUCCUGGUAAAGAUCCUUCAAACUCUCAAGCCCGUUAAGAUUAACAGAAAAUCAAACCAACAAGCUCUGCUUGAUAUGCCACGUGUCAAAAACCCACCACUUGAUGUUAGAUCCGCAACCUUCUCAUUCCUUAGCCUUCCCAAAUUGAAUAUAAUACAGCCUCCGCGCUCUUUACAGAUACUAAACGUCUCUUCUAGUUCAACAAGACCCAAGCUUGUGUUAGCAAUGGAGACUUUAACUAGCUUGUCCGCUAAGGUCUUUACAAAAAAACAAUAAAACAACUCUAUCACCAUCAAGAUCAGCUCUGCUUGGUCGACAUGAUUUUGGUUUUUCUCCGUCUCCAAAUCUAAAGAGACUACAUUUUAAUCAUUUGAUUUUGUUUUGACGCAGAGAUGCUCCAUUGUUGGUCCUGAAAUCUAACCCUGCAACUGAUGCAGAGGUACCUUAUUUCUUUAAUGAUUUCUUUUAUUUUCAUUUCAUUGUGUAUUUAUAUUUUUAUUUAUAUCAUUUUUUCCUCUGAACAAUAAACAGAAUUCGUGUGUGUGAUAAAAAACAAAACUCAUAACUUUCAUAUAUGAGCAUGCAUGAAUGCAUAAAAAUCUAUAGUUAAUCAUGGAUCACUUCCGUUUCCUGGAUUAUAAAUUAUCAAGAGGAAACAUGACAGGAUCUCUUAGUCCGAUUUCCCUCUAAAGAUACUCACAGAUUCAAUGUUAACGAAGAGUACUCGCUAUAAUAGUCUUAUAGAAGAGUCAGCUGAUGUGAAGAACUUGAAAGUCAUAAUUGUGAUUAUCAAAUAAAGAAAAGGUGCACUAAAUUCUACGUUCCCAAGUGGUAUCAAGGGUCCAACAAUGCAGUAGUAUAAGAUCACCCUUCAAGUUUUGUUCCAAAUUUGUAAAUGAGCCUUGCUCUUGCUCCAGAGAGGUCACUUUUAAGAUCAAGAUAAGGCUGGAGUUCUUUUUAUCAUAGCUUAGGAGCUUAAUUGAGUUCAUUCAAAAAGCUUCAUCUCGAUUGAUUUAAAUUUUCAAAUAGGUCUUGAAUGGCUUCGACACUGCAGUAUCCUGGAACCAAAAAAUAACACCGGCAAAAACUGUUCAUGUGAAGUUCUAGUUGCAGAAGGAGUGUGUAUUCGGUGAGCAAUUUCUCCUAGUUGGGGAAGAUCGAAUGGUUGGUCUGUGGGAUCCAUCAAGUGCCAUACCACUCAACGGGUCAGAGGGACACACAUGGAGUGUUGAGCUGGUAAGGAGGAACUAUCAAAAAAGCUAUUAUACUGGUAUUCGAUAAGAUAUACAGAAUCUGGAUUCUGGCAGGAUGUACGCGUCAAUUUGACGAUGCAAUACAGGUUUAUUCUUAAAAGAAGCACAGGAGAAAUCGCUUGGCAGCCUGGCCCAGACAGAACUUUCAAGACAUGGGAAAGCAAUAACAGUAUGGUGAUUGCUGAGGAUUGGGAAAAUGCUGGAGCUCAAAAAGUUAUUGAGGAGCGAGUUAUCAAUACUCCAGAUUUGGAGCCUGUUGUUGCUGUAAAUGUUUCCCAUAGAGGGGAGGAAGUUACACCUGAUUUCAACAAGGAUAUAAUGCUUUCAGGGCUGUUGAAUCCUAUAACAGAUUGUGCAGAACAAAACGUAAAGAAAGACAAGUCGUGUGGAAGAUUGAAUUUUA